CAGGUUCCCCUCACCGGAAUGGUGCAGCAGAAGCGGCUGUCCGUUUAGUUAAGCGGGCCCUACUGAAUCUAGGCUGUAACAAAGUUAUGUCAUGGGGGGAAUUUCAAACUUUUCUUUACACGGCAAGCAAUCUGGUCAAUGAAAGACCUAUUGAUGCCAGGACACAAAGUCGAGAAGACUGUGUGGAAUAUGUAAGUCCAAACUCUCUUCUCCUGGGUCGUACUGGGAGAAAGGGGGAUCAAGGAAGUUUUGAGUUUGAAGGCUAUCCAUACAGAAGGCUAAGAAUCAUCCAGGAAGAAGUCAACAAAUUCUGGAGAAGUUGGUGUCAGCUGGCAGGUCCUAACCUCUUUGUAAGAAACAAGUGGCAUACUAAAGAGCGGAACGUUGCCGUGGGAGAUGUGGUAUGGGUGGCUGACCAGAAUGCUCUAAGAGGUCAGUACAAGAUGGCCAGAGUCGUCGAUAUAAAUGCAGACAAGAAAGGAACCGUGAGAGAUGUAAUGGUCAGAGUAUUCCCCAGCUAUCCUGUCUCGAUUGUUAAACCAAACCAAGCAGAAACCGGCAAGAAUGUCAAACCAACAAAAAAGCAUUGUGACAAAAUUCCAGCUACGAUUCUGCGUAGGGAUGUGAGACGUUUGGUAGUUCUGAUUCCCAUUGAAGAACAGUAAAGACAUUUCAGCUAAGAAGUGUGUGUGACCUCCUUCGGUCAGUUGACCAGGAGCUCAAGUGGGAGGUGUUAAGUUGAAUUUGAGAGAAAGAAAAAAAAAAAGGAAAAAAAAGAGACAUGGUUAAAAAGUAUAAAUUCAUCAUUGGUAAAGAAGAUUUAAGAUCAAAAUGAGUGCAGCCUAUUGGUUGGGAGCACAUGGUGCAACCUGGGAGAAUCAAGGUAGCUGAUUGGUCAUUGAAACUCCACAUCUCCAAACUCCACCAGGUGUGUGUGAUUACUGGGAGCAAGAGGGAUCUUUGUUUGCAGUGAAUGUGCUUCUCCUACUGAAGUUGGUGGGUUUUGGUGUUCAAAAUACCAAAGGAGAAAGACUGUUGAAAAGCCACAAUGUUUCAUCAACUUUGAGAUGCAACUGGUUAUUAAGCUAACCUUCUGGAAUUAUCAUUGAGACAAGUACAAAAGAAGAUCUAGUCAAUGAUGAGAGAUUUUCAAUAAACUGCUUCUAUGAUGAAGAACCAGAUGGUUUGAGUUAUUCCAUGCACCUUCAGAGUUGAUUGAGGCCCUUUUCAAGUUUGGGCAGACAU